rnacentral:rRNA from 1 species
UUGAAAGGGAAACGAUUGAAGUCAGUCGUACCAGCGGGAAUCAACCUUUCGAGUGGGGGUUUUGGAGUUUUGAAGAGUGUCAAAACCUUUGAGAUUUCAAAAUUUUCGCUCCUUUGGUGUACUUUCUCGUGGGUAGGUUAACAUCGAUUUCGAUCAUCAUAAAAGGAUUGGAGGAAUGUAGCUUCGAUCUUGUAUUGAAGUGUUAUAGCCUUUGGUAAAUGUGAUGAUUGGGAUCGAGGAUUGCAACGAAUACCCUUUUGGGCUAUCCGCCUGAUCUCUGAUACGUGGCCUUGGCAUCGAAAGCUUGCUUAUGGUAUCAAGGUAUUACGGUCAAAAGGUUAGAACGGAUUACAUUCGUUAAGGAUGUUGACGUA